AAGUGCUACAGUUUUUAAAAGAAUUUAUCUAGCAGGUUUUCAGUUUUCACUAGAAAACCACC
rnacentral:snRNA from 1 species